rnacentral:rRNA from 1 species
UACGGGGGGGGCAAGCGUUGUUCGGAAUUACUGGGCGUAAAGGGCCAGUAGGCGGCCAACUAAGUCGGAUGUGAAAUCCCCAGGCUCAACUUGGGAACUGCGUCUGAUACUGGGUGGCUCGGAGUUCGGGAGAGGAAUGUGGAAUUCCAGGUGUAGCGGUGAAAUGCGUAGAUAUCUGGAGGAACACCGGUGGCGAAGGCGGCAUUCUGGACCGAAACUGACGCUGAUGCGCGAAAGCCAGGGGAGCAAACGGG